GCUCCGCCUCCCGGGUUCUCGCCAUUCUCCUGCCUCAGCCUUCCGAGUAGCUGGGACUAUAGGUGCCCGCCACCACGCCAGGCUAAUUUUUUGUAUUUUUAGUAGAGAUGGGGUUUCACCGUGUUAGCCAGGAUGGUCUCGAUCUUCUGACCUCGUGAUCCGCCCGCCUCGGCCUCCCAAAGUGCUAGGAUUACAGGCGUGAGCCACCGCGCCCGGCAGCAAAUUUUAAUACUACUUCUCCUUCCUGAUGCCACGUGAAGAAGGACAUGUUUGGUUACCCUUCUGCCAUGAUUCUGAGUUCCCUGAGGCCUCCUCAGCCCUGCAGAACUGGGCCUUAAUCACUGAGGACAAGUGUAUGCUGAC
rnacentral:lncRNA from 1 species